rnacentral:rRNA from 1 species
UACGUAGGGUGCGAGCGUUAAUCGGAAUUACUGGGCGUAAAGCGUGCGCAGGCGGUUUUGUAGGCCAGAUGUGAAAUCCCCGGGCUUAACCUGGGAAUGGCAUUUGGGACUGCAAGGCUCGAGUGCGGCAGAGGAGACUGGAAUUCCUGGUGUAGCAGUGAAAUGCGUAGAUAUCAGGAGGAACACCGAUGGCGAAGGCAGGUCUCUGGGCUGACACUGACGCUCAUGCACGAAAGCGUGGGGAGCAAACAGG